rnacentral:lncRNA from 1 species
GUGAGGAGAUUUUCAAUUAAACAUUUUUAAAAAGCAUUCUCACUUUCUCUAAUUACAUUACUUUAAUUUCUUAGUGAAGGAAUAAAUCUCAACAGACAGGAAUUCAUUCACCUGGAUUUUUGGGUGCUAUAAGGCACUUGCUCAAAGUGAAUCAGCUGCAGCAUUAAUACUUCUGCACAAGACUCUUGACAAAGUGUGAGAUACCAGACUCCAUGAGCUUGAGCAUUGCUGAGAAAGGGAUUUUUCAGGGGAGCAAUAUUGUGCCUUGAAACACCUGUGUGAGCCACAGAAAUACUUCAGACCCUUUGACAAACAGCUCUGGAAACAGAAGUGAUGUCUCUGCCUGCCAUAAUGGAGAGGAGGAUGAAGAGAAAAGCAAAUAACAGAAGAGAAAGGUCUGUGACAAUUUUAGGAAGCUUUAUAGAAGGAGGUUAUUGAUGGCUGCUACUUCUUCCCCGGG